rnacentral:rRNA from 1 species
AGAGGAAGGUCCCCCACAUUGGAACUGAGACACGGUCCAAACUCCUACGGGAGGCAGCAGUGAGGAAUAUUGGUCAAUGGGCGCAGGCCUGAACCAGCCAAGUAGCGUGAAGGAUGACUGCCCUAUGGGUUGUAAACUUCUUUUAUAAAGGAAUAAAGUCGGGUAUGGAUACCCGUUUGCAUGUACUUUAUGAAUAAGGAUCGGCUAACUCCGUGCCAGCAGCCGCGGUAAUACGGAGGAUCCGAGCGUUAUCCGGAUUUAUUGGGUUUAAAGGGAGCGUAGAUGGAUGUUUAAGUCAGUUGUGAAAGUUUGCGGCUCAACCGUAAAAUUGCAGUUGAUACUGGAUAUCUUGAGUGCAGUUGAGGCAGGCGGAAUUCGUGGUGUAGCGGUGAAAUGCUUAGAUAUCACGAAGAACUCCGAUUGCGAAGGCAGCCUGCUAAGCUGCAAC